GACGUAGGGUCCAAGCGUUGUCCGGAUUUACUGGGCGUAAAGAGCGCGUAGGCGGUCCGUUAAGUGUAGAGUGAAAGCUCCGGGCUCAACUCGGAAAUUGCUCUGCAUACUGGCGGACUCGAGGACGGAAGAGGUUUGUGGAAUUCCUGGUGUAGCGGUGAAAUGCGUAGAUAUCGGGAGGAACACCAGAGGCGAAGGCGGCGACCUGGACAGAUACUGACACUCAACUACGAAAGCGUGGGGAGCAAACAGG
rnacentral:rRNA from 1 species